rnacentral:rRNA from 1 species
GAUGAACGCUGGCGGCGUGCCUAAUACAUGCAAGUCGAGCGAACAGAUAAGGAGCUUGCUCCUUUGACGUUAGCGGCGGACGGGUGAGUAACACGUGGGUAACCUACCUAUAAGACUGGGAUAACUUCGGGAAACCGGAGCUAAUACCGGAUAAUAUUUCGAACCGCAUGGUUCGAUAGUGAAAGAUGGUUUUGCUAUCACUUAUAGAUGGACCCGCGCCGUAUUAGCUAGUUGGUAAGGUAACGGCUUACCAAGGCGACGAUACGUAGCUGACCUGAGAGGGUGAUCGGCCACACUGGAACUGAGACACGGUCCAGACUCCUACGGGAGGCAGCAGUAGGGAAUCUUCCGCAAAGGGCGAAAGCCUGACGGAGCAACGCCGCGUGAGUGAUGAAGGUCUUCGGAUCGUAAAACUCUGUUAUUAGGGAAGAACAUACGUGUAAGUAACUGUGCACGUCUUGACGGUACCUAAUCAGAAAGCCACGGCUAACUACGUG